CCAAAAAAGAAUGCAAUCAUGUUUUUUGCACAACAUGGAUGAAACUGGAGGAGGAAAAUUUGGACACAGAAACACAGACAUAAGUGGGAGACGGCCCUGCAAAGACAGAUGCAGAGAUCAGUGAUGCCGCAGCAAACCAAGGAAGGCCGAGGAGUGCCGACCACCAACAGAAGCGAGGGAGGGGCAAGGAAAGCAUCUUCUCUAAGAGCCCUCCGGAAGAGCAUGGGUCACCUGACAUUUGAUUUUAGAUUUCCAGUCUCCAGAAAUAUGGGAGAACAAAUUUCUAAUGUUUUAAACCACCCAGUUUAUAGUAUUUUCUUAUGACAGCUCUAGAAAACUAAUACACCCUCUCUCAAUAAAUUAGUAAGUGAUGUGUUAUACAAUUAAAAUUAAUUGUAUUUAGAAGUUUUUAAGUAUUCACUAAGAAAGAACAUACAAACAAACGAAAUACAUAGCACAUAUAAGACAACAAUAAUGGACAAGAGAUAUAAAGUGAAUAGUAGAGAAAUAAGGAAAAUAGAAUGUUGCCUGCAUUUUGGAAAUUUCUCCAUCAUAUCUCCCUCACCCAGAUAUAAUUGCUUUCCUGAGUUUUAUUUCAAUUAUUUCUCAGAUAUUCUUUAGUUUAACACCUUAGCAUGUAUUCCUAAACAAUAUAUUUUAGUUUUAACUCUUGGAUGACUUCAUAUAAUUGAAAUCAUAAAGUACAGACAUGUACCACAUAACAAUGUUCAGUCAACAAUGAAUCACAUAUACGAUGGUAGUCCCAUAAGAUUAUCAUACUGUAUGUAUUUUUACUAUGAAUUUUCUAUGUUUAGAUAUACCAAUAACAUUUUAUUACAAUUGCCUGCAGCAUUUGGUAGAGUAAUUUGCUGUACAAAUUUGUAACCUAGGGGCAAUAGGCUAUACCUAUUAUACACCUAUAGCUUAGGUGUAUAAUUGGCUAUGCCAUCUAGGUUUGUGUAAGGACACUCUGAUGUUGAAAUAGUGAUGAAUUUAUCUAAAGACGCAUUUCUCAGAACGUAUCCCUGUCUUUAAAUGGCAUAUGACUGUACGUGUGUGUUUUCACUGGUUGACUUUUAAAGUUUAUCUAUGUUGUUAUAUAUGCUGCGAUAUGUUCAUUUGCAUUAAUGUACUAUAAUUCUGAAUGAACUGUACCAUUAUUUUCUUAUCCAUUCUACUGUUGGUGAACAUUUGGUUUGUUCCAGAGUACAGCUAUUAUGAAUAAUACUACCAUGAACAUUCUUGUACAUGUCUUCAUAUGUGCAGAAAUAUAUAACUCUACUUACUCCAUACCUAAAUUAAAACUGCACCAUCAGUGAGGUAUGCAUAACUUAAAAUUAUUUAUCAACACUCUUGCACCAGUUUUCACUCCUCUCAGCAGCAUAUAAGUCUCCAUUGUUCCAUAACCUUUCAGACACUUUACAUUGCACAAUAUAUUUCACUGUGUGUAUUAGUCAGGGUUCUCUAGAGGGACAGACCUAAUAGGAUAGAUACAUAAAUAAAGGGGAGUUUGUUAAGGAGUAUUAACUCACACGAUCGCAAGGUCCCACAGAAGGCCAUCUGCAAACUGAGGAGAAGGACAGCCAGUCCAAGUACCAAAACUGAAGAACUUGGAGUCUGAUGUUCGAGAGCAGGAAGCAUCCAGCACGGGAGAAAGAUGUAGGCUGGGAGGCUAUGCCGGUCUCAUGUUUACACAUCUUUCUACCAGCUUUAUAUUCUAGCCAUGCUGGCAGCUGAUUAGGUGGUGCCAACCCAGGUUAAGGGUGGGUCUGCCUUUCCCAGCCCACUGACUCAAAUGUUAAACUCCUGUGGCGACACCCUCACGGACAUACCCAGGAUCAAUACUUCGCAUCUUUGAAUCCAAUCAAGUUGACAGUAUUAACCAUCGUACUGUGAUGAUUUUAAUUACUCUAAAUUAGUAAUACAGUUAUGGAGAUAUAUAGCCUUUGCUCAUUUAUUUGCCUAUUCAAGAUUUUUGCUCAUUUUUUUCUAUUGAUUUUUUUGUUUCCCUUAAUGACAUUUAGAGUUAUUUCCAUAUUCUAGAUACCAGUUCUUUAUUGGUUAUAUGUAUUGCAGCUACCCUCUCCCGCAAUAUGAAGGGUCAUCACAUACAGUGGUAU